AAAAUAGUAAGAAGUAGGUAGUAGACAUUUCUAAGUAUUCUGAUAUAGCUACUCGUACUUACGACUUUGACGUAUUGACAAAAUUAUGGUCUUAACAAAGUGUAGUAAGUAUGUUUUUAAUAAUGCUGCAGCUCAAAUUAGUUCUAUUUUCUGUUUACUCAUAGAGGCAACUCGAUUUUGCGUUCAAUAAUUUUAUCGGAAUGUAGUCGUGGUGAAGCUCGUAGCGAACAAUUCAAUUAAGGAGAGACGCCUAAAUUGUUUUAAAAUUGAUCACCAUCAUGCACAAAACUGGUAAAUGUCGAGACGUCUUUACCACGCUUGUGACAUGACUUGAAUAAUUAAUAUUCGUACACACUCAUGUGCGUAUGUUCUAUUUUUUUCAUACACAUAGGUGUAUGUUUUAUUUUGUUCAGCGAACUUUUUGACCUCAUUAACAAACAUUAUGGUUCCCAUUUCCAUGUUAGACUUUAAAAUUGAUAGAUAUAUUAGACUUUUGGCUUUAUCAUGAUUCAACUAUACUAUUAUAAAGCUGAAAAGUUUGUUUGUUUGUUUGUUUGUUUGAACGCGCUAAUCUCAGAAACUACUAAUCCGAUUUGAAAUUUAUUUUAGUGUUAGAUAGCCCAUUUAUCGAGAAAGGUUAUAGGCUAUAUAUAAUCACGCUAAGACCAAGGAGCGGAG
rnacentral:misc_RNA from 1 species